UACAAGUUGGCUGUGUCUCCUUUGCCUGUCAUGUCUCUCUGGGGCACUUUCCACAACUGGCAACUAUAGGGUUUAUUUCUUUGAUUAUUUGGGGUUUUCUGCCUCCUUGUUCUAGAACAUAAGCUCCAUGAGGAAGGAAAGCCCCAGGAGGCCCAGGGUCUGGGUUCCUGGCAACUGGAGACUGAUUUCAGUGACUGUGGGGCUGAGCCAGAAGGUGCGGGGGACCUGACGAGUGUACAGAUGCUGGCUCUCCCCUGUGUGAGCAGAGCUGGGCGUGCGGCCGGGGAGCCCUCUCUGCAGAGGCAAACUCCAUCCACUGUCCGGAAUCAUGCACUCGGGGAGGAGUGAGCUCCCCAUCCCUGGAGGUGCUGGAAGUCAAAAAUUCACCUUCAGUCAUCCUGACGGCAAGGGUGGCUGUGUGAUAAGCUCCUUGCUCAUGAAAGGCUGACCUGUGUACCCCCAAAUUCCUGUGUUGAAUCCUUGAGCCCCGGUACCUUGGAAUGGGACUGAAUUUGGAAAUGAGACCUUCAAAGAGAUGAUGAAGUUAACACAAGGCUGUUGAAAUGGCCCUCAUCCAACCGAAGUGUUGUUCCUGUAAGAAGAGGAAGAUAUACCAGGGACGCAAGCACAGAGGAAAGGCCAUCUGAGGACACAGUGAGAACACAGGCUUCUGAAAGCCAAGGAGAGAAGCCAGGAGAAUCAGGCCUUGAUCACACUGGCAGCUUGAUCUUGGACUUCCAGCCUCUAACACUGUGAAGCCAUGGAGUUCUGCUAUUUAAGCCACCCAGGCUGUGGUGGUGUGUUGCGGCAGCCCGAACCGACCGAGCCACCUGCCGACGGCCAUUGAGGGCGCCAUCUUAGAAGCAUCUUCUUCAGCCCGGGGUCAAGCCUUCAGGUGAGGCAGCCCCAGCCCUCACCCUCACUUCGAUCUCACAAGAGACCCCAAAGCAGAGCCACCCAGACGUGCUGCUCUCAAAUUCCUGACCCAUGGAAACGACAUGAGAUAAAUAUUUGUGUUGGUUUAAAUUGGUAAGUUUGGGCGUGUUUUCGCCCUGCACCAGUGGAUAGCAAAUACACCUGCCACGUAAGACGCCAUGUCUAGCUCCCAGGCCCGGCUUGACCCACAUAGCCCAAGGCCUGUAACGGGUAGAGAGACACAUCUUGCUUUUUAAUUCAACAACCGUUUUGUGCGUGGCAUAUAGUUAAUGCUCAAAAAACACUUGUUGAUGAAUGAAUAACGAACCUGAGUUUUGCAGGCACCUCCCGGGCAGACUGAUACUUAGGACUGCUU